rnacentral:rRNA from 1 species
CCCUUAGAUGUUCUGGGCCGCACGCGCGCUACACUGAGUGGAUCAGCGGGUCAGGUUGCGCGAAAGUGUUUCCUAAUCUUUAAAUCCGCUCGUGAUGGGGAUUGACGGUUGCAAUUUUCCGUCAUGAACGAGGAAUACCUUGUAAGCGCGGGUCAUCAUCCUGCGCUGAAUACGUCCCUGCCCUUUGUACACACCGCCCGUCGCUCCUACCGAUUGAGUGGUCCGGUGAGGCUUUGGGAUCUGAGCGGAAAGAGCGUUUCGCUGUUUCUGCCCGGAAAACUCAGUCGAACCUUAUCAUUUAGAGGAAGGAGAAGUCGUAACA